UCACUGCCCUGCUCACCCUUCCUGAGUCCGGCGGCAAGGGUAACUCUGGGAGCAUCGUAGAGGGCAGAGAAGAAGAAACCCUGAGGUCCCAUUAUGUCAGCCCCUUCUAUCACACGGGAGGAGACUGAGGACAGAAAGGGAACAGAG